GGCUGCCUUACACAUGCAAGUCGAACGGUAACAGGUCUUCGGAUGCUGACGAGUGGCGAACGGGUGAGUAAUACAUCGGAACGUGCCCGAUCGUGGGGGAUAACGGAACGAAAGCUUUGCUAAUACCGCAUACGAUCUACGGAUGAAAGCAGGGGACCGCAAGGCCUUGCGCGGACGGAGCGGCCGAUGGCAGAUUAGGUAGUUGGUGGGAUAAAAGCUUACCAAGCCGACGAUCUGUAGCUGGUCUGAGAGGACGACCAGCCACACUGGGACUGAGACACGGCCCAGACUCCUACGGGAGGCAGCAGUGGGGAAUUUUGGACAAUGGGCGAAAGCCUGAUCCAGCCAUGCCGCGUGCAGGAUGAAGGCCUUCGGGUUGUAAACUGCUUUUGUACGGAACGAAAAGACUCCUUCUAAUAAAGGGGGUCCAUGACAGUACCGUAAGAAUAAGCACCGGCUAACUACGUGCCAGCAGCCGCGGUAAUACGU
rnacentral:rRNA from 1 species